rnacentral:pre_miRNA from 1 species
UGUUAAAAUUUUUAUCUAUUCUACUAUUAAAAAUUAAUGUGAAUGAUGAAAUAGUCAGACAAUUACGCGUGACUUGACAUUAUUUCUUAUGUUGACAUACAAAGAUUAGUUUUUAAUAAUAAAAACGGAUGAAACUUUUAAUA